UACGGGGGGGGCAAGCGUUGUUCGGAAUUACUGGGCGUAAAGGGCUCGUAGGUGGCCAACUAAGUCAGACGUGAAAUCCCUCGGCUUAACCGGGGAACUGCGUCUGAUACUGGAUGGCUAGAGUUUGGGAGAGGGAUGCGGAAUUCCAGGUGUAGCGGUGAAGUGCGUAGAUAUCUGGAGGAACACCGGUGGCGAAGGCGGCAUCCUGGACCAACACUGACGCUGAGGAGCGAAAGCCAGGGGAGCAAACGGG
rnacentral:rRNA from 1 species